UACGUAGGCGGUCCAGCAAGUCGGGUGUGAAAGCCCUCGGCUUAACCGAGGAAGUGCAUUCGAAACUACUGGGCUUGAAUACUGAAGAGGAUCGCGGAAUUCCCGGUGUAGAGGUGAAAUUCGUAGAUAUCGGGAGGAACACCAGUGGCGAAGGCGGCGAUCUGGGCAGAUAUUGACGCUGAUGUACGAAAGCGUGGGGAGCAAACA
rnacentral:rRNA from 1 species